GUUGGGUUAAGUCCCGCAACGAGCGCAACCCCUAUCUUCAGUUGCCAUCAUUCAGUUGGGCACUCUGAAGAAACUGCCGGUGACAAGCCGGAGGAAGGCGGGGAUGACGUCAAGUCCUCAUGGCCCUUACGGGUUGGGCUACACACGUGCUACAAUGGUGGUGACAAUGGGGAGCGAGGCCGCGAGGCCAAGCCAAUCUCAAAAAGCCAUCUCAGUUCGGAUUGCACUCUGCAACUCGAGUGCAUGAAGUUGGAAUCGCUAGUAAUCGCGCAUCAGCAUGGCGCGGUGAAUACGUUCCCGGGCCUUGUACACACCGCCCGUCACACCAUGGGAGUUGGUUUUACCCGAAGCCGGUGCGCGAACCGCAAGGACGCAGCCGACCACGGUAAGGUCAGCGACUGGGGUGAAGUCGUAGCAAGGUAGCCGUAGGGGAACCUGCGGCUGGAUCACCUCCUUU
rnacentral:rRNA from 1 species